GACGAACGCUGGCGGCGUGCCUAAUACAUGCCAGUAGAACGCACAGUUUAUACCGUAGCUUGCUACACCAUAGACUGUGAGUUGCGAACGGGUGAGUAACGCGUAGGUAACCUGCCUGGUAGCGGGGGAUAACUAUUGGAAACGAUAGCUAAUACCGCAUAAUAUUAAUUAUUGCAUGAUAAUUAAUUGAAAGGUGCAAUUGCACCACUACCAGAUGGACCUGCGUUGUAUUAGCUAGUAGGUGAGGUAAAGGCUCACCUAGGCGACGAAACAUAGCCGACCGGGGAGGGUGGUCGGCCACACUGGGACGGAGACACGGCCCAGACUCCUUCGGGAGGCAGCAGUAGGGAAUCUUCGGACAUGGGCGAAAAUCUGACCGAGCAACGCCGCGUGAGUGAAGAAGGUUUUCGGAUCGUAAAGCUCUGUUGUAAGAGAAGAACGGGUGUGAGAGUGGAAAGUUCACACUGUGACGGUAUCUUACCAGAAAGGAACGGCUAACUACGUG
rnacentral:rRNA from 1 species